CAAGACAUUUGAAAAUGACAGUUGUAGCACUGGAUGCUGGGCUUUUCUUUCAUUCUGAAGGUUCUUCUUCUAUGGACUUUUUCAUAUUUCCUGAUGAGCAGAGGCCUAGCCUCAAAGAUAUAACCAACGAAGCUGUGCCAAAGCUGAGGAGAAAGGACAAUGCCACCUAUGUUGUGGUAUAAUGUUAUGACAAGUGAUGGCAGCAUGAGGAAAUGAAAAGCACCACCUUGAUUCACACAGUCUCCUGACAGAAAAGCCCUACUGAGCUGCAUGGCACCAUGUUCCUGUGGUUCUUGCUGUGCUGCACUGCUCAUCCCUGUAUUAGCUGCAAUUCUACCUCAUUAACAUUUCCCAGAAGUGAGCAGGGUAGCCAGCAUUUGAUAGAAGCAAGACAGUAGUGCCUAACCAGAUGUCAGGAUGGCACUAGUGCUUGCUGGUAGUGGCAGAAGCCCACGGCACCCUUCCACAAACAAAUCAAGUACCAAGAGGUGCAGAAGGUGUUGGUGCAGAAGCUUUUUGUGAGAUAGGCACAGCAUUGUGGUGAGAAAUGAAUGGCUGACAGCAUGGACUCAUGGGACAAAAAAAAACAACAAGCAAAAUUAAAUAGAAAGUCCUUGUGAACGGCACAAAAUUGAGUGUAUGUGUUGGGGGAGAAGGAGACAAUGAAAGAGUAUAAUUGAUCUUCUGAACUCUCAGACAGAAGAUAGCUGCAACCAGGAGAGAAUGAAUAUAAAUUUGGCGAUAGCCGGACUGAAGAAAAGCAGUACAUUGUGAGUCAUCCAAUUAAUACAGAGGCAUGAGACAAGAC
rnacentral:lncRNA from 1 species